rnacentral:rRNA from 1 species
GACGUAGGGCGCGAGCGUUGUCCGGAUUUAUUGGGCGUAAAGAGCUCGUAGGCGGCUUGUUGCGUCAGCUGUGAAAACCCGCAGCUCAACUGUGGGCUUGCAGCUGAUACGGGCAGGCUUGAGUCGGUAGGGGAGACUGGAAUUCCUGGUGUAGCGGUGAAAUGCGCAGACUAUCAGGAGGAACACCGGUGGCGAAGGCGGGUCUCUGGGCCGAUACUGACGCUGAGGAGCGAAAGCGUGGGGAGCGAACA